AACACAUAGAGACACAGCAUCAUGAAGGCAGAGGCUGCCUCGGGACGGCUCUGCCCCAGGGAGCGUGGGGCCAUCUGAGCCAAACAGAAUAGAGGGCUUGGACACAGCCCCGGAUGUGAGUUGAGCUCUGAAUGUCAAGACCAGUCCUGGGUGAGGAAACUGAAGCUCUGAGAGCAGUAGCUCCCCUGAGCCGUGCAGCUGGAGAGGGCUGCGCCAACAGCAGAGCUGGGGCUCUUUGCAGUCCCAUUUUCCACUGCUUUGGUCAGGGAGUGAGUCCCCUGAUGUCAUCCGAGGAUAUGAGGCAUCGCUAAAUCUGGCCAUCCCCUGAAGCACCCAGCCUCACCGACUUCCUGAAGCGUGGAUGAACGCUGCUGCCACAAAUGUGCUGUGACAACCGCUGACAAGGAGAGUGAGUGAUGUUUGUGCCAUCCUGCUGAGCACGAGGGAGCUGCUUGGGG
rnacentral:lncRNA from 1 species